GGGGAUGAAAUUGGAAUCGAUGGAAAAUCAAUUCAAAACCGUCAGGCCAAGGCGCUGGCACCUUGCAAAAAACCGGCAAAUCAAAUUAAGUGCAAACUUAAUCAAUCUCACUGGAGCUGGACUUGCCCUCGCGGCAGGCGCUUUUCUUUCUAAAAAGAAAGAGGACGCGUUAUAUCCCGCUCUGGCUUACGCCGCUAUUUAAUAAAUGCGGCCGUCUCGCUGUUAAUUCUCGCUAAACAGACCGAGGCGUCAUAAAGCGAGAUAAAUUUUGAUAAGGCCAAAAUCAAAAUUGAAACCAUCCGGCUACGAGUUUUUGGACUUUUGUUUUUUUUAAGCAAAAAACUCUAAAAAAUAAAAAAAACUAAGCCUGUAGAAUGGCCAGAAACGCAUUUUCCAGACGGGGGCUCGAUCCCCCCCAUCUCCACCA
rnacentral:tmRNA from 1 species